CCUCCUUUUCUUGGCGGGGACUGGGUGUGUGGUCCCACUUCCCGUUAUGUACGGAGGCAGAAGGAAAGGGUUCCGUCUCUCGGUGCCAUGUCUUCGGUGCCAGCGGCUUCCCAUUCGCCGGUUCUAUCCUCAAACGCCGAGACGCGG
rnacentral:snoRNA from 1 species